rnacentral:rRNA from 1 species
CGAGUGUAGCGGUGAAAUGCGUAGAUAUUCGGAGGAACACCGGUGGCGAAGGCGGCCAACUGGGCUUUAACUGACGCUGAGGCUCGAAAGUGUGGGGAGCAAACAGGAUUAGAUACCCUGGUAGUCCACACUGUAAACGAUGAUAACUAGGUGUGGGGGGUCUGACCCCUUCCGUGCCGCAGCUAACGCAAUAAGUUAUCCACCUGGGGAGUACGACCGCAAGGUUGAAACUCAAAGGAAUUGACGGGGACCCGCACAAGCAGUGGAUUAUGUGGUUUAAUUCGAAGCAACGCGAAGAACCUUACCAGCACUUGACAUCCAACUAACGAAAUGGAGACAUAUAAGGUGCCCUUCGGGGAAAGUUGAGACAGGUGGUGCAUGGUUGUCGUCAGCUCGUGUCGUGAGAUGUUGGGUCAAGUCCCGCAACGAGCGCAACCCUUGUGGCAUGUUGCUAACAGGAAAGCUGAGGACUCAUGCCAGACUGCCGGUGACAAACCGGAGGAAGGCGGGGAUGACGUCAAAUCAUCAUGCCCCUUAUGGCCUGGGCUACACACGUACUACAAUGGCGGCUACAAAGAGCGGCGAGACAGUAAUGUCGAGCGAAUCUCACAAAAGCCGUCCCAGUUCGGAUUGGAGCCUGCAACCCGGCUCCAUGAAGUUGGAAUCGCUAGUAAUCGCGGAUCAGCAUGCCGCGGUGAAUACGUUCCCGGGCCUUGCACACACCGCCCGUCA